CCUACGGGCGGCAGCAGUGAGGAAUAUUGGUCAAUGGCCGAGAGUCUGAACCAGCCAAGUAGCGUGAAGGAUGACUGCCCUAUGGGUUGUAAACUUCUUUUAUAUGGGAAUAAAACGUUCCACGUGUGGGAUUUUGUAUGUACCAUAUGAAUAAGGAUCGGCUAACUCCGUGCCAGCAGCCGCGGUAAUACGGAGGAUCCGAGCGUUAUCCGGAUUUAUUGGGUUUAAAGGGAGCGUAGGUGGAUUGUUAAGUCAGUUGUGAAAGUUUGCGGCUCAACCGUAAAAUUGCAGUUGAAACUGCCAGUCUUGAGUACAGUAGAGGUGGGCGGAAUUCGUGGUGUAGCGGUGAAAUGCUUAGAUAUCACGAAGAACUCCGAUUGCGAAGGCAGUUCACUGGACUGCAACUGACACUGAGGCUCGAAAGUGUGGGUAUCAAACAGGAUUAGAUACCCCUGUAGUC
rnacentral:rRNA from 1 species